CGAAAGCCUGACGGAGCAACGCCGCGUGAGGGAUGAAGGCCUCUGGGCUGUAAACCUCUUUUCUCAAGGAAGAAGAUCUGACGGUACUUGAGGAAUAGGCCACGGCUAAUUCCGUGCCAGCAGCCGCGGUAAUACGGGAGUGGCAAGCGUUAUCCGGAAUUAUUGGGCGUAAAGCGUCCGCAGGCGGCCUUGUAAGUCUGCCGUUAAAGCGUGGAGCUCAACUCCAUUUCAGCGGUGGAAACUACAAGGCUUGAGUGUGGUAGGGGCAGAGGGAAUUCCCGGUGUAGCGGUGAAAUGCGUAGAUAUCGGGAAGAACACCAGUGGCGAAGGCGCUCUGCUGGGCCAUAACUGACGCUCAUGGACGAAAGCCAGGGGAGCG
rnacentral:rRNA from 1 species